GGUUUCUUUAUGGAGAACGGAGAACCAACAGAAACAGAUCAGAUGGAACAUAAUGAUGGACGCACACCAUUGACAAACAUCUCAAACACCAUUACUAUAGCUGAUGAAAAUGGAUCGAAAAGGCUUGGUCCAAAUGUCGAUGCUAAGGAACGUAAGAGGCAAAGGGAAAGGGAAAGAUAUGCCGCGAUGACCGUUGAACAAAAAAACGAGAAAAGUAGAAAACGUCGUGAAGCAAGCCAACGAAAUAAAGGACCUCCUAUACAAACAGAGGGAUCUACAGUUAGUCUUUCAGAUGGCUGUAGCACAAUUGAUUUCACAAACUUUGCAACACAAGUUCCAAAUGUGAAUCGAGAUGAUGAUAGCGAUUGGUUGCAUAGGAAUGAGACAUUCAAGUCAGACGAUGUUUUCACAACAAGAGACCUUCUGACACCAGGUACAUGA
rnacentral:misc_RNA from 1 species